rnacentral:rRNA from 1 species
AUUGAACGCUAGCGGGAUGCUUUACACAUGCAAGUCGAACGGCAGCGCGGACUUCGGUCUGGCGGCGAGUGGCGAACGGGUGAGUAAUGUAUCGGAACGUGCCCAGUAGCGGGGGAUAACUACGCGAAAGCGUAGCUAAUACCGCAUACGCCCUACGGGGGAAAGCAGGGGAUCGUAAGACCUUGCACUAUUGGAGCGGCCGAUAUCGGAUUAGCUAGUUGGUGAGGUAACGGCUCACCAAGGCGACGAUCCGUAGCUGGUAUGAGAGGACGACCAGCCACACUGGGACUGAGACACGGCCCAGACUCCUACGGGAGGCAGCAGUGGGGAAUUUUGGACAAUGGGGGCAACCCUGAUCCAGCCAUCCCGCGUGUGCGAUGAAGGCCUUCGGGUUGUAAAGCACUUUUGGCAGGAAAGAAACGUCGCGGGCUAAUACCCCGUGGAACUGACGGUACCUGCAGAAUAAGCACCGGCUAACUACGUG